CGGUCCCCGGUCCCGGUCCGCCGCCUUCAGCCGGCCAGCGGGCACCGUCCCCGUGGGGCAGCGGGACGUGGUGGCUCCCUUCGGAUUUGGCAGUAGUGGGUUGGUAGCGCGGCUUCCCCCCGCUCUGGAGCGAGGCGUGGGUGCUCUCCUGAGGGUCUCCAGCCCCACCGGAGCCACCUGGGAAUAAGUCCCGGAGUCACAGAACGGUUUGGGUUGGAAGGGGCCUUGAAGGUCAUCUCCUUCCAACCCCCCUGCACGGCAGGGACACCAAAGCCGCAUCCAACCUGGGCUUGAACGCUUCCAGGGAGGAGGCAACCGCAGCCUCACAGGGUCUGUGUCUCACCAUCUUCACACUGAAGAUUUUCUUCCUGAUGUCUGACUUAAAUCUGCCCCCUUCCAGUUUAAAGCCAUCGCUGCUCUAGCAGGGCGGCUGCAGUUCCAGGGUGGGAGCUUCAAAAAGCAGGACCUGAAGCCAACGUUAAAGAAAAUUCAGUGGAAGACGUUGGUAAAUAAUAAUCAUCUAUCAACCUGCCUGUGAACUGAAGCACCUCCACCCACGGCUGAACAGCCCUUCAGCCCCAGAUGCUCUGCAACAUCUAACGCUGGGGAGGUGCUGCACUGGUGGAGUGUCUUUAGCAAGCAAGGAGCCACUUCAUCUAUUUCCAAUUAAAUGACUCAGCCAAGCUGAGCAGGAUCAGCAGAUAAUGAAAAUCUGGGUGUAUAUGGAGGAAAAGACACAGCACAAAUGCCAGGGAAAUGUGCCCAGGAGGUAGCUGGAAAGCCAAGGUUUCUGACACGAAGAGACAGUGCAUGGUUGGGAAACAAUAAAAAUCCACCUCUCAGCCCCCUUGACUGGGGCAGGGGGGAGCACAUUCCACCUGGGCUCCACUGCCUUCUCUUUGUCCAGCCAAUGCAAACACCAAUCUGACAGAAUCCCAGGUUGCUCCGGGGUCUCAUUUCCAGUGGCCAACACCC